GACGAACGCUGGCGGCGUGCUUAACACAUGCAAGUCGAACGGAAAGGCCCUGCUUUUGUGGGGUGCUCGAGUGGCUAACGGGUGAGUAACACGUGAGUAACCUGCCCUUGACUUUGGGAUAACUUCAGGAAACUGUGGCUAAUACCGGAUAGGAGCUCCUGCUGCAUGGUGGGGGUUGGAAAGUUUCGGCGGUUGGGGAUGGACUCGCGGCUUAUCAGCUUGUUGGUGGGGUAGUGGCUUACCAAGGCUUUGACGGGUAGCCGGCCUGAGAGGGUGACCGGCCACAUUGGGACUGAGAUACGGCCCAGACUCCUAAGGGAGGCAGCAGUGGGGAAUAUUGCACAAUGGGCGGAAGCCUGAUGCAGCAACGCCGCGUGCGGGAUGACGGACUUCGGGUUGUAAACCGCUUUCGCCUGUGACGAAGCGUGAGUGACGGUAAUGGGUAAAGAAGCACAGGCUAGAUACGUG
rnacentral:rRNA from 1 species